GACGAACGCUGGCGGCGUGCCUAAUACAUGUAAGUCGAGCGGAUGAUGGAGGAGCUUGCUCCUCCUGAUUCAGCGGCGGACGGGAGAGUAACACGUGGGCAACCUGCCCUGUAGAUUGGGAUAACUCCGGGAAACCGGGGCUAAUACCGAAUAAUCCUUCGGACCUCAUGGUCCGAUGUUGAAAGACGGUUUCGGCUGUCACUACAGGAUGGGCUCGCGGCGCAUUAGCUAGUUGGUGAGGUAACGGGUCACCAAGGCCACGAUGCGUAGCCGACCUGAGAGGGUGAUCGGCCACACUGGGACUGGGACACGGCCCAGACUCCUACGGGAGGCAGCAGUAGGGAAUCUUCCACAAUGGACGAAAGUCUGAUGGAGCAACGCCGCGUGAGUGAAGAAGGUUCUCGGAUCGUAAAACUCUGUUGUGAGGGAAGAACAAGUACCGGAGUAACUGCCGGUGCCUUGACGGUACCUCAUUAGAAAGCCACGGCUAACUACGUGCCAGCCGCCGCAGUAA
rnacentral:rRNA from 1 species